GUCUGCCUUUUUUUGCUUUCCUCUCCUAGAGGCCGGCCGCCAUGUUGUGCUAGUUUUGUGCUCGGCGGAGGCAGAGGCGGAGGCUCCAAUACAGACGAGAACCAGGAGGAAGGUCUGUCGCGGGGGCCUCGGAGCUCGGCUUCGCCAUGGCAGCCGCCUUGGGGGGAGGCGGAGGCGGCAGCGGAGGCGGAGCAGAUGAUGACUUUGAUCAGUUUGAUAAGCCUGGUGCAGAGAGAUCUUGGAGGAGGAGGACUGGAGAUGAUGACUGGGACAGUGAAUUAGAUGAUGACUUGCUAGGAGAAGAUUUGCUGACUGGCAAAAAGACUCAAUCAGACAUGUCAGAUGAAGAAUUGAAUGAUGAUCUCCUACAGAGUGACAAUGAAGAAGAUCAACAUUUCAGCACACAGGAUGUCUCCAUUAGUCUUAAUGCUACCUCUGGAAUGGUUACAUCCUUCGAAUUUUCUGAGAGUGUAAACGAUCCCUCAAUUGAGCAAGAUUCAGAGUAUGAACAAGGGGAGGACGAACUGGGCUAUGACAAGUCAGAAGUGACUGAAGAGUAUGCUGAGGAGUACACAGAAGAAGGACAGUAUGAAGGCCAAGAGACUGAGCUGACAGAAGACCAAAUAGAAUAUGGGGAAGAUCAGGGAGAAGAAGAGAUUUAUAAUGAUGAAGUGUUAGAUCUCGAAAUCAAUGAACCUCUAGAUGAAUUUCCUGAUGAAGAAUAUAUGCAGUCCUACAGUGAACAGCAAGUCAUUGAACAGCAGGAGUAUGUAGCUGAAGAGGAACUGGAAGAGGUUGCUGAAGCUCAGACACCUCCAAAUGAGUCAGAAGAGGCAGUUAUUGAAAAUCUGGAGCUUCAAGAAGAAACCAAAGAAGAAUCAGAUGAGGAAGAAGAAGAUGAUGAAGAGUCUGGUCGACUUCGUUUUAAAACUGAACGGAAAGAAGGAACAAUCAUUAGGCUUUCAGAUGUGACAAGAGAACGAAGAAACAUUCCAGAAACGUUGGAACUUUCUGCUGAAGCCAAAGCUGCAUUACAUGAAUUUGAGGAGCGGGAAAGACAGAUGAAGCAGGGACGUUAUGGCUCAAGAAGAGGAGGAAGGCGAGGAGGGCCUUUGAUGUGUCGUGGAAUGGGAGAACAAAGAAGAGACAACAAUGAAAGAGGAAGAAUGAAGGAUCACAGGCCUGCACUGCUGGCGACUCAGACAGCUAUUACGGCUCAUUCAGAGAGGAUAUUUCGUCAUCAGCAACCCAUUAGGAAUCUUUUCCAGCAACAGCAGCAACAGCAGUUACAGGGUCUGCUACCCAUUCCCCCUCAGCAUCACACACCACCCCCUCCCCCUCAAGGGAUUCAUAUGCCACCCCAACUGGAAACACCAAGAAUACUGAUGACUCCUCCUCCAGUGACAUCUCAGCAGCCAAAAAACAUACACAUAAACCCACACUUCAAAGGGACUGUAGUAACACCUGUACAAGUGCCCUUGCUGCCAGUACCAGCCCAGCCAAGACCUGCUGUAGGACCCCAGAGAUUUCCUGCCCCUCCAGAUUUUCAGCAGAACCCUCCUGGCCCUGUUCCUACUAACUUCAAUCAAGCCCCAAGACUCUCCCUGCAGGACCAGUGGAGAGGGCCGCCACCACCUCUGCCACCUCCACCUCCUCAGGACAGAGACCCUUUCUUCAUGGGAGAGCCAAGAUUUCCCAGCCAUCACUUGUUUGAGCAACGGAGUCCACCACCACCACCUCCACUCCUCAACAGCACCCAUCCUGUUCCUGGCCAAAAUCCACUUAGUUUCACUCAACCUGGACCAGCUUUUAGUCAGCAGGGACAACAGCCCAUGUUUCCCAGGGAGAGGAUGGUGAGGCCUAACCUUCAACCACAGGGCCCAGUAGGAGUCCUUCACUUCAAUCAGCCUGGAGCAGCAAAUACCCGACCUUUCCUUCCUCCUCGGCAGUCAUUUGUGCAAGUUCCAGGGCAGCCAUUCUUGACAGCUCUCACACAGCCCAGUAUGCAGGGUCCAUUGCACCCACCUCUGCAGCAGCACCAGCACCAGCAGCAUCCGCAGCUACCGCAACAGCACCAACAGCAUCAGCAACACCAACAGCCACCACCUCAGCAUCCCCAGCAUCAGCAGCAUCCCCAGCCACCACCGCAGCAACAUCACCAGCAGCAUCAGUCACACCAGCAGCAGCACCACCUCCUUGUUGUACCUCCUCAGCCUCUGAUUCCAGUUGCCCCAUCCCAGUUCAGACCCCACAUGCAAACUACACAGCAACAGUCAGGCAAUCGGAUUCAGUGUCAGCAACGGCAAGGUCUUGUAAAGGCCAGGCAUAAUACACCAACACAAAACAUUGUGAAGCGUCCAAAUCAACAACUCCAGUCGCCCGCUCAAAGGAACAGUAAUUUGCGUGAAUUGCCAAUAGCACCUUUGCAUACAAUAGAAGCUGCAAGCAAUCAUCGAACCUCAACACCUGCUGUUCAAGUGAAACCCAUUGCCAGCACCACCCCUGCUGUAAGGCCUCCUGCAGGCAUGAGGAAUGAACAGGGAAGAACUGAGGCAAAACCUAAAACUGUUACUCCUGGGGCACAGCCUAAAGUGGAAGCCAAAUCUGAACCAGAGUUUCCCGAUGAAGAUGAAGAAACCAGACUCUACCGCUUGAAGAUAGAGGAGCAGAAACGUCUCAGGGAAGAGAUCCUUAAACAAAAGGAGCUCAGGCGGCAACUUCAGGCUGGGGCUCGAAAAAGAGAGUUGCUUGAAAGGCUGGCCCAGCAGCAGCAGUGUUCUCUGACACAACAGCAGGAGGAGGAGACCACAUCACAGUCACCCACCAAUGGAAACCCACUGCUUCCCCUUCCUGGUGCACCACCCCGCCAAAAUGUGAAAUACAGGCUGAUGGUUAAAAAACAAGACCCAGUAGUUCCCAAUUCACCUGCUGUCCAGCCUAAGCCCACCAAUAUUCUGCAAGCUGGAGAUAAUGCACAGUUUCAAGGACAGCAAAUAAAAACUGUGAAGCAGCUGAGACAGACUAGGACAAUGCCUGAAAAUGAGCUCCUGCCCCCAUAUAAAGGGGUGCAAACAAAGUCUGGUGGAGUGCACAUGAACCCCUCUCAAAUUGCUCGGGUGGCAUCGGUACAAGGCCAACCUCAGGAACUGAAGCCUGGGGUGAAAAGAACUGUCAUGCAACGGGCAAACAGUGGUAGUGGAGAUGGGCCCCAUGUCGGCACCAAAGUCAGGGUGAUUAAAUUGUCAGGAGGGGGUGGUGAGAAUGUUGGCUUUUCUCAUUCGGAAGGGCUUCCCCACCGGCUCCAGCAACUUCCAGAUCAGAGGCAUCAGCCAGUACGGAAGGUCACAUUGACAAAGGGAACAGUGCAGCAGCCUCACCAGCCUCAUCUGCACCAGCUGGCACAGAUUCAUGCUGCAUUUCCACCUGGGCUGAAAAACAUCCCUGGGAUACAUCAGGCAAAAAAGGUCAUUCCUCACGGGAGAGGCAGAGGCCUGGCAGGCCAGAUGGGCCGAGGACGCUUGAUGCCAAACAAACAGAAUCUGCGAGUGGUAGAGUGCAAACCUCAGCCCUGUGUUGUGUCAGUUGAAGGGCUUUCUUCAUCAACCACGGAUGUCCAACUGAAAAACCUGCUGAUGUCGGUAGGACCCAUUCAGCACCUGUUUUUGGAAUCCCCAAAGCAGAAGCUGGUAAAAGUUUACAGAUGCUUCCUCAGCAACGAAAGGCUAUAGCAAAAUUUAAAGAACCAGCAGAUGCUUUAAAGUUUCAACAGAAGUUUCACAGGCAUAUGAUAGAUUUGUCACACAUCAACGUGGCACUGAUAGUAGAGUGAUAUGCUGAAUUGAGUGAUCCACACACUACCGGAAGCAUGACAUGGAGGAAGUCACAAGGUUGGGACCUCUCCCUGUGAUCUCCAGUUCCAGCUUUGCAGUGUCCCUUUGAAACUUCAGACUACCCUGUGGCACUAUAGACAGCAACAACAUUGCUGCAAUGGAAGCUGAGAUUUCAAGGAUCAAGAAUGGAGAGAUUUUUCUCUUGGCUUUCUUUUACUGUGUUGAACAUAUGGAACCUAGUGAUACUGUGCUUGAGCUGUACCUGCAGAUGUCUUUCAGAAGAUACACUGUGUGGCCACACUGACUCAGAUUAAAAGAACACUAACUUUGGUUUUUUUUAAUCUUUCAUGCAAAGAAUAUUUGAUAAUGGUUGCUCUUAUCUUCAAAGUGAGGUGUUGAAAUGAGAAUAUGCACCCAUAUCUACCUUUUGUAGUUAAGUAGAUAAGUGCACAUAAUGUAGAAUAAAAUCUGGGGUAUGUAAUUUGUUGAUAUUUUGCCAAGAGGCUUCAGAGCUACUUCUUGAAAGCACUUACUUUCAGUCAGGUGAAUGCAGUUCUUUGCAACACAGUCUUGCAAAUUCUCUUGACAUACAUUCCCCUUCCAACAUAGUUUUAUAGGAAUAAUCUCACAAUUUUGACAUAACUAGUAUAUAUAUCUUCUCAGAGUCUCUGAAAGGCAAAGCUUUAAGCAUUCUUUUGUUAGUUUGCUUUUAUGGCAAUUGCAAGGGAUCAUGUAAGGGAGGAUAGGGUUGAGAACCUGUACACAUUCAGGUUUGUUAUAAUGCUAGUGGUAGUACACACAGGGGGAAAAACUUGACAGGCUUCUGUUGUGCAAAUUGCCUAUAAUCUAAAGUUAGGCAUCUUUCUAUAGGAUUUUCUGUAUCUUAUACUUUGCAGCAAAGACUGCAUAACAGCAGAAGCUGUACUCUAAUGUUCUUACUCCAAGUUAAAAUUAUGGUUUUUCUACCCUGAGGCAUGGAGCUGGGUUUUUAAAAAAUUAUGUGCAGACCUGAAGGAAACUUUGUUUUAUUCUUAGUAAAAUCUGUUGCCUUGCCCUGCUGGUGGUUUCCAAAGUAAGGCAUUUUUUGUUUAUCAGAAACUCCUUGGUUUCCAGCUUUAUUUGGGCUGUGGGGAGGGUCUUUCCUAAUUAUUUCUAGAAAUAUAUUUCAGUGCUAGUUAACAUAGUGGCUACAGAGAAGGAGCAGUAACUUAGAAUGUGCUGCAGUAAUUUUUUUAAAAAAUUGUAAAUAGAGACUAAAAUAUUAAUGCUGAAGCAGGUGGAAGAAUAUUGUUCUUUAAGGCCUGCAAUUUUAUGUGAGAUCAAAAGGUGGUAAUCUUUUUGUUUCAGCUAUUUAAAAUCAAACUCUGGUAAAGAGUUUUAACAAGUUAAAACCAUUGUGGGCAUGUAUUUUAAAGACUGAAUGGCUUUCAUGUCCUGCUAGAAAUGUCGCAGGAGUUGUAUAAGGGAUGUGUUGUGGUAAAAGUGUGGUUGUUUUAAGUACAUUUUAAACAAAUGUCUAGUAAACACAUCUUAACCCUUGUACAGUACCUGGCGUGGAUUUGUCUAUUGAACCAGUACUUGUCUUGACCCAUGGAAUUUUGGUUUGCUUUAGUUAAACCUUUUCUCUAUUCAGGGUUAUUUCAAAGGUUUACAAGCAUCAGGUUCAGGCAGUUAGAACCACAGAGAUGACUGAAUUGAGCUUCAAGGGAGUUUUGGUCUUUAAGGAAGACACAUAAGCCUUCCUUGCAGUUUCUGUUAAAGACAUUCACAGAAUUUGGGCCUUCUUCAUCCCACAAUUUAGCUACUACUACACCAUACUGAAUAAGCUUGACAGAAAAACAGCAUCUCAAAAAUGGCUUGAUCAAAGUGAGAUCUGAAUUGCCUGAAUGCAAGUGGCUUGAAAUUGGGCUUAGAAGUAAACAAGGUCUUGUUGAUUUGGUAAGUUUCAAAGCAAAGAUGCUUUCUGAAAGAGCUUUUUUUUUAAAUGGCCUUCAAAAUAUUAAGACUACACUUUAAAUCAAGGCAGCUUUUUUGGCAGUGUUAUUGGGACUUGGAAUAGGGUAGAUGAAGUUAGAGCAUUUAAGGCAAAUGUGAGGUUUCAAUCCUUUCAUGAUUUAAAACUUCUGUCCAUGGAAAUUAGUCCAUGACAGAUUUAAACCGGUGAUGUGUGCAUCUGUAUGAUUGAAAUCUAGGCACUUUUGUCUGGCUCCCAUCUGCUAAAAAUGAUGGGGUGUGCCUAGUGUGUACAUAAUUGUGCAUGUGUGCACAUAGGUAUUAUCCAUACUCACCAUUUUGACACUGGAAACAGCCUAAUUUGAUCCUGGGAACGUGGGGAGCCCCAAGUACCUCUGAUUCUUUUCCUCCAGACUAGUGAAGAGAAAGCACCUUCUCUGGGUGGCAGGCACCCAGCCUCUGGAUUGAGUUUCUGAGUGCUUGUAAUAUACAGAUUGAUUGAUUGAUGCUAACUUAGAACAGAGUUUGUUGGAAAGGCUGUUUCUUAUCUUUAGCUGCCAUCCACAAAAGCAAAAUCACAGUAAAAAGUGGAGGCCCUGUCCUUUGUGCAACACUUCACUACCAGUCACCACUUAUUUUUUUAGAAGAUCUGUGGCAACCAUUAUCUUGUUCUUUCUUUAUCAUGCAUUUAAAAUGAGAUGCAGAGAUGGCAUUUAAUGUAUUAUGUAAAUACGAGACUUUUAAACAACUUGUUAAAUGAAGCUAUUCACAUGCUUACAAUUCAGCUGCAUCUACGCUUACUUGGUGGGGGGGGGAGGAAGGCAAUUGUAUUAUCUUAUCAGAAUUUAAUGGAAACUAUUCCAUAUAUGUUCAUUUUUUUGUGUAACUCCAAUUUUUUUUUAUAAAGAUGCUAGCAAGUCAAUACAUGUAUCCUGACCUGUGUAUUAUUUGUUCAUAAAGCUUCAGAAGCUGAAACAUUGAAUGAGUAUUUUAGCCAGUGGAGGUAGAGGAAUAUUAAUUUUAUUUUUAUUUUGUCUCUUGGAUAUAGUUUUAUUUAAUUUUGCACCAUUUUCUACUUUAACUUUUAUGUCCUUGCUGAAGAAAAAACUGCAGCUAAUUAUGUGCAGUGCUAAGAUAUUAAUCAUGGCUUUAUAGUAAAAACAUUAAAUGGGCAAUAGAGUAUCCAUUGUUUUAGGGUUUUGCUUUUAUUUUAAGUUUGGCCAGUGACCUUUUUUAAGGUUUGGACAAGGUUUGGUCAUCUUAUAAGAUAUACAGAUAAGCAAGAUAAUAGUAUUUCCAUUAAGAAUUGUGAAAAUGACUUUGGUUUUCUUUCUACUCAUGGGUUAGUUUAUCAUGAGGAUAUAUGGCACUCUUGUAUCAAUAUUGUUUAGUGUUCCUUCAAACUAUCAAAAGCAUGUUAAAAUAUGAAUCUUGAAGAAGAGAUAUUUGAAGUUAGUUUACAAAUAUCAGAAAUGCAAUUUAACAUAAAUUUCUAGUAAUAGAAAUACUGCAGAAGUAAACAAAAUGUUAUGAUGAAACUAGCUAGCAAAGAGUAUAUUGGGGAUUCCUGCACUUACUAUCUACAGCCCUUAUCACAGUAGAGGGGUUGGAUAGUGAUAACAUCCCAUGAAUAAAAAAGAGAGCUAGAGAGAGAAAUGACUGGCCUAUGAAUUGCAGCUUGUAGGUGCUAGAAUGAAUGCCACAAAAUAUGUGGCAAGAACUAGGUCACUCCUGAAAAGAUUUAGGCUAAGUCCAUAUGAUCAUUUGUAUGGCAAACUGUCAACAUCAGGUGAAAUUUCCCCUCCAUUCUCCUUUGGCUCCUACGUUUUAAAAAUGUGCCCUAUGUGAGGAAAUGAAGAGAUAGCAAUUUUCUUUUAAUGAUUGAAUUCAUGUGGUGGCACCACUGUUUCAUUAACAAGGGGCACAUGCGCAAAACAUAGUAACCACAGAGGAAAUGAAGGAGCAGUGUCAACUUGGGUUGUUUCCUUUUCCCAUGAGAAUUGAUACAACAAACAUGCUCUUUUAGCUUUGUUGUAUUCUGACCUCUAAUUUUUGCCUGUCACAGAGUGGAUUCAGUUUGAAUCUGAAAGUUUUAAUUGACAUUGGGAGGUGGGGUUAACAGUUACACUAAGGGUACAGUUUAGAUACUAGUUCAGUACUGAAUAUUAAGCACUUUAUUUGGUUUAUAUGUUGCCGCUCUAAUUUGCACACUUAUAUCCAUAUCUGGACAACUGCUACUGCCAGCACUUUGCAAGAACCUACUCUGUGUAUUCCCUAAUGUUAGAAAAAAAAAUAACAAGGUGUGUGUGGUCUUCUUCUUCUUCUUCUUUUUUUUACAAGGUUUGUUUUCUUAUCUCUGAUUUUUCUGGACAGGGUCCUAGUUCCAUAGAAUUUCUCGUUUCUAUUUUGUUACAUGUCAGAUUUUGCUACAGUCAUUGAUCUCAGAUGUUUACUGAUAGACAAACCUUUUCCCCUUUGAUCACCUGCUUACAAGAUUUCUCACUGUUAGCUUUAUUUUGCAGCAACCAUUUUGGAGAACUAAGUGCCACUGGAAGAAACAAUUAGAUUUUGAAGGAGUGUAAGUGAAAGAAUGAAUACCUCUGGGCACUCACCUUGUUAAGAUUUGCCUGGAAAAUUGCGCUAGGAACACAGUUAGUUACUAAGAUGAAUUUUAUUGCAUCAGUACUAUAAAGGAAUAUUGCAAAAAUAUUAAAUCCUAAGGAUUUUGUGUAAGGUUUAUUUGUAACCUUUUUUUAAAAAUGAAACACUUUAUAUAAAAAGCCUGGGGAGGCCUUAUGUACAGACCACUGAUUCAUAUUGGAUCUCAUGUAUACCAUGUUCUGGUAUCAAUCUGGUUGGGAAGGAUCUUUUUUUUUUUAAAGAAAAUAAGGUAAUAUUCAUAGAAGAUAUUACUGAGUUCUAUGCUCAUUUUGGCUAGCAGGUUGUAGCUGUUUCACAGCAUAUGGGAGUUUGGUGAGAAGGUCAGGUCUUUUUAAAACAAAAAGCCAAACUAAUUUUUGUGCUUCACUAUAGGAUUGGAGGUAGACUUUGCAAAGAAAAAGUAAUGUGUUAAUGCAUGCUCGUUAUUUUUAGAAGGUUUCUGUUAAAGUUUGUUUAGAGCACACUGACAAACUGGGAAGCGAAAUCCCUCAGAAACAGCGAUAAAUUUAAAUGGAGGAUCUAGUAGGGUGUCUUUUCUUACAUAUUUUAUUUAUUCCUUGGGAGAAAUCACUGUUAAUUAUAAAAUUGUAUGAGUAUGUUUACCUGAUCAUUUAUUCAUUUUAUCUUUUACGCCUUGUAGCAAUUUCUCUCUUUUCUGUUUUUGUGUAACAAGAAAUAAACACUACAUGGUUAUUGAUAACAAUUUUCCUUGCAGGCAUAUGAGAAUGGGGAGCUGAUUUCUAGCCUCUCUUUUGAGCUUGACCAAAAACUAAUAAUUUGUUUUUUACAGGGUAAAUAGAUUCAUUACAUGCAUUAAACACAUUUCUUUACAGUAGACCUUCAUGCUGUCAUUUGUUGAAUAAUUUCACCUUCUAUUUUAUUCAGUGCCAUUUUACUUAGCUUUCUUACAGCACAUUCUUCACGAUUCCUAACUCACUGACUCUCACUAACAGCCCAGUGAGAUAAAAAGGAGGUUCUGAUAGAGAUGCUUACCCAAAGCCAUCCCCUUAGCUAAGUGUCAUAGGGCUGGGCUUUCCGUGUUCAGAACCAGAGCCUGGGGAAGUUACUCUUCUGUAUUGAAAUUCCUAGAAUCCCAGGGACCAUGCAGGCUGUAGAAUUCCUCAAAUUGUGGUCCAAAAAUAACCUUUUCAAACUCUGCACAGUACAUUUACCGAUCACUGAUCUCACAUGUAGCUCUUUAAUAGGAUGAUGACAUCCAUCUUUACUCUUGCAUAGUUUCACAGUUUUUCUUAAGAGACUAUUAGAGACCUAUCAGUUGACCCCACUAGGUUUUCCUCAGAGUUAUUGUGAAGCUAUGAAAAUUAGGGCCCCUACUACCACUGCUACCUUCUCUGCUAGGUUUUUCAGUUCAAGAUAAUGCACCUAACUGCCUCGUGCAAGGGUACUCCAUAAAUUUCUUCUCCCUGCUUCUUGUGAUAUUCCUGCUUCUCUUGAACAUGCGUGUGUAUGUGUUCGGGAUCUGUGGAGAAUUUUCUCUCUGAUUGCUUCAGAAACAUGGAGAGUAGAUUCUCUGCCUGUGGCAUAUAGCAUGCAGGGGAAGCAGAGAUAGAAUGGGAGGGAAGGAGAUUUAUAGUGGCUUUUAACAGAGGCAUUCAACAUCCAGCCCUAAAUGCAUGUUCUUAUCUUUCACCAAGUUGAAUGCUUACUUUGGAAAGCAGUCAUUGCUCUUUUUAGGGAAUCCAAUUCUCAGUGCCAAACACUAGCAUAGAAAAGAGAUCUGUUGAGCUGCACAGGUAUUGAGAUCCAUGGCCUACGAAUUCAGCCACAGACAUCCCUGACACAUUAAUCAUUGCUGACUCACAAUUUUGCAGCCCAGUGGGUUAUUGGAGUAAUAAAACACUAUCAGUAUUAUAGGACAAAACAAGAUUUUUGACACCCCUUGGACAACAGUUUGAGUAUUUGCAAAUGUUUAACUUGCUUCUGCAGUGCCCAACCAAUUUUUUUCCUUUACAGGUUUCUUUUUGCCUCUUUUUUAGGAACAAUGUACAUCCUAAAGAACAGGAAAACUUAUCACUUAACCAUACUGUUUAUGUCCAUACAGGAAAAUGGCCUCUACAGCAGUCCCAGGAGAAUGUACCAUUACUAAUCCUUUUUUCUCCUCCUCCUCCUCCUCCUCCUUCUUUUUGCAGGCUCUCCUAGUUCUCACUGAAUUCAGGGACAGUAAUAGUGCUGUAAAUACUACUCAUGUAGCUGUAGUGUCAAACCUUUUGUCUUUUAUUACUAUUACUGAAUUGUGAUCCUUCCUAACCUGUAACUUCAUGAAAUAGCUGUAUACAUUUUGAGUAUGAUCGGAAAUGCCACUCAAACCUGUAAUGUUUAAUCUGGACUGUGAAAUUUGGGUUUGUUGGGAUGCCUGAAAAAGACAGCUGUGCCAUUUUAUUGACUCCGUUGGGGGUUGCUUCUCAUCUCUUGUUUUUAAAGCAUUUGCUACCUACAUUACUUUACAGUUCAUUUUUUAAAAAUGUAUGCAUACUUUUUCACAUCAGAUUCCAUCUUCUUGCCUUAGACCUUUCCUCUGGAGUUUGUUGAUGUAGUACAAAUGUACAAAUUUCUUCACAGAGAUGAAAAUGUAAUAAAAAUGUCAUUUCUGAUUUAACUUGUAUGUCUUUAAAUUUAUUUCACUGUGAUGCACUCAGUCUUCAUUGAUGUAAUUCAAGAGUGUAAAUAAAAAAAACCUUUUAAUUACCAUA